rnacentral:rRNA from 1 species
UACGUAGGGUGCGAGCGUUAAUCGGAAUUACUGGGCGUAAAGCGUGCGCAGGCGGUUCGUUAAGUUCGUUGUGAAAUCCCCGGGCUCAACCUGGGAACUGCAUUUGUGACUGCAUCGCUGGAGUGCGGCAGAGGGGGAUGGAAUUCCGCGUGUAGCAGUGAAAUGCGUAGAUAUGCGGAGGAACACCGAUGGCGAAGGCAAUCCCCUGGGCCUGCACUGACGCUCAUGCACGAAAGCGUGGGGAGCAAACAGG